GACGAACGCUGGCGGCGUGCUUAACACAUGCAAGUCGAGCGGUAAGGCCCUUUCGGGGGUACACGAGCGGCGAACGGGUGAGUAACACGUGAGCAACCUGCCCUUCACUUUGGGAUAACUGCCGGAAACUGUGGCUAAUACCGGAUAUGACUUCCUCACGCAUGCGGGGUGGUGGAAAGCCUUCGGGGGGUGGGGGAUGGGCUCGCGGUCUAUCAGCUUGUUGGUGGGGUGUUGGCCUACCAAGGCUUCGACGGGUAGCCGGCCUGAGAGGGUGACCGGCCACACUGGGACUGCGAGACGGCCCAGACUCCUACGGGAGGCAGCAGUGGGGAAUAUUGGACAAUGGGCGAAAGCCUGAUCCAGCAACGCCGCGUGAGGGAUGACGGCCUUCGGGUUGUAAACCUCUUUCGCCUGCGACGAAGCGAGAGUGACGGUAGCAGGUAAAGAAGCACCGGCCAACUACGUG
rnacentral:rRNA from 1 species